CCUACGGGUGGCUGCAGUGAGGAAUAUUGGUCAAUGGGCGCGAGCCUGAACCAGCCAAGUAGCGUGAAGGAUGACUGCCCUACGGGUUGUAAACUUCUUUUAUAAAGGAAUAAAGUGAGGCACGUGAGCCUUUUUGUAUAUACUUUAUGAAUAAGGAGCGGCUAACUCCGUGCCCGCAGCCGCGGUAUUACGGAGGAUGCGAGCGUUAUCCGGAUUUAUUGGGGUUAAAGGGAGAGUCGAUGGGUUGUUAAGGGAGUGGUGAAAGGUUACGGCUCAAACGUAAAAUUUCAAUUGAUACUGGCAGCCUUGAGUACAGUUGAGGUAGGCGGAAGUUGUGGUGUAGCGGUGAAAUGCUUAGAUAUCACGAAGAACUCCGAUUGCGAAGGCAGCUUACUAAACUGCCACUGACAUUGAUGCUCGAAAGUGUGGGUAUUCAACAGGAUUAGAUACCCUUGUAGUC
rnacentral:rRNA from 1 species